AGAGUUUGAUCAUGGCUCAGAGUGAACGCUGGCGGCGUGCUUAACACAUGCAAGUCGCACGAGAAAGCUUCUGCUUGCAGAGGCGAGUAAAGUGGCGCACGGGUGAGUAACACGUGGGUAAUCUACCUCCGAAUCCGGGAUAACAACGCGAAAGCGAUGCUAAUACCGGAUAAUAUCACGGAUUCCUCGGGUUUCGUGAUCAAAGGUGGCCUCUUCAUGAAAGCUACUGUUUAGAGAUGAGCCCGCGACCCAUUAGCUUGUUGGUAGGGUAACGGCCUACCAAGGCCACGAUGGGUAGCUGGUCUGAGAGGAUGAUCAGCCACACUGGAACUGACACACGGUCCAGACUCCUACGGGAGGCAGCAGUGAGGAAUUUUGCGCAAUGGGGGAAACCCUGACGCAGCAACGCCGCGUGAGUGAUGAAGGCUUUCGAGUCGUAAAGCUCUGUCAAGUGGGAAGAACCUACAAAGUGUCAAUACCACUUUGUACUGACGGUACCACUGAAGGAAGCACCGGCUAACUCCGUGCCAGCAGCCGCGGUAAUACGGGGGGUGCAAGCGUUACUCGGAAUCAUUGGGCGUAAAGGGCGCGCAGGCGGCCAGGUAAGUCAGAUGUGAAAGCCCGGGGCUUAACCCCGGAAGUGCAUUUGAUACUACUUGGCUUGAGUAUGGGAGAGGGAAGUGGAAUUCCUGGUGUAGAGGUGAAAUUCGUAGAUAUCAGGAGGAACACCGGUGGCGAAGGCGACUUCCUGGACCAAUACUGACGCUGAGGCGCGAAGGCGUGGGGAGCAAACAGGAUUAGAUACCCUAGUAGUCC
rnacentral:rRNA from 1 species